AUUGAACGCUGGCGGAAUGCUUUACACAUGCAAGUCGAACGGCAGCACGGACUUCGGUCUGGUGGCGAGUGGCGAACGGGUGAGUAAUGUAUCGGAACGUGCCCAGUCGUGGGGGAUAACGUAGUGAAAAUUACGCUAAUACCGCAUACGAUCUAUGGAUGAAAGCGGGGGAUCGCAAGACCUCGCGCGAUUGGAGCGGCCGAUAUCAGAUUAGGUAGUUGGUGGGGUAAAGGCCCACCAAGCCAACGAUCUGUAGCUGGUCUGAGAGGACGACCAGCCACACUGGAACUGAGACACGGUCCAGCCUCCUACGGGAGUCAGCAGUGGGGAAUUUUGGACAAUGGGCGAAAGCUUGGUCCAGCCAUUCCGCGUGCAGGAUGAAGGCCCUCGGGUUGUAAACUGCUUUUGUACAGAACGAAAAGGUUUCUACUAAUACUAGGAGCUCAUGACGGUACUGUAAGAAUAAGCACCGGCUAACUACGUGCCAGCCGCCGCCGUAA
rnacentral:rRNA from 1 species